AUUUGAAAUCUGGCGCCCCUUGGGCGUCCGAGUUGUAAUUUGAAGAGGGUGCUUUGGCGUCGACGGCGGUCUAAGUCCCUUGGAACAGGGCAUCACAGAGGGUGAGAAUCCCGUAUGUGGCCGCAAGCCUUCGCCGUGUAAAGCCCCUUCGACGAGUCGAGUUGUUUGGGAAUGCAGCUCUAAAUGGGAGGUAAAUAUCUUCUAAAGCUAAAUACCGGCCAGAGACCGAUAGCGCACAAGUAGAGUGAUCGAAAGAUGAAAAGCACUUUGGAAAGAGAGUCAAACAGCACGUGAAAUUGUUGAAAGGGAAGCGCUUGCAGCCAGACUUGCUCGCAGUUGCUCAUCCGGGCUCUCGCCCGGUGCACUCUUCUGCGAGCAGGCCAGCAUCAGUUUGGGCAGCCGGAUAAAGACCUCUGUCACGUAUCUUCCUUCGGGAUGACCUUAUAGGGGAGGUGCAAUGCGGCUAGCCCGGACUGAGGUCCGCGCAUCUGCUAGGAUGCUGGCGUAAUGGCUGUAAGCGGCCCGUCUUGAAACACGGACCAAGGAGUCUAACAUCUAUGCGAGUGUUUGGGUGUCAAGCCCGGGCGCGCAAUGAAAGUGAACGGAGGUGGGAACCCUCUCGGGGGCGCACCAUCGACCGAUCCUGAUGUCUUCGGAUGGAUUUGAGUAAGAGCAUAGCUGUUGGGACCCGAAAGAUGGUGAACUAUGCUUGAAUAGGGUGAAGCCAGAGGAAACUCUGGUGGAGGCUCGCAGCGGUUCUGACGUGCAAAUCGAUCGUCAAAU
rnacentral:rRNA from 1 species